rnacentral:rRNA from 1 species
GACGAACGCUGGCGGCGUGCUUAACACAUGCAAGUAGAACGGAGAGGCCCUGCUUUUGUGGGGUGCUCAAGUGGCGAACGGGUGAGUAACACGUGAGUAAACUGCCCUUGACUUUGGGGUAACUUCAGGAAACUGGGGCUAAUACCGGAUAGGAGCUCCUGCUGCAUGGUGGGGGUUGGAAAGUUUCGGCGGUUGGGGAUGGACACGCGGUUUAUCAGCUUGUUGGUGGGGUAGUGGCUUACCAAGGCAUUGACGGGUAGCCGGCCUGCGAGGGUGACCGGCCACAGUGGGACUGAGAAAGCGGCCAGACGCCGUCGGGAGCCAGCAGUGGGGAAUAUUGCACAAUGGGCGGAAGCCGGAAGCAGCAACGUCGGGUGGGGGAGCACGGCCGUAGGGUUGUAACCCGUUUGCGCCUGUGACGAAGCGUGAGUGACGGUAAUGGGUAAAGAAGCACCGGCUAACUACGUG